AACGAACGCUGGCGGCGUGGUUUAGGCAUGCAAGUCGAGCGAGAAAGUCCUUCGGGACGAGUACAGCGGCGAAAGGGUGAGUAAUAUAUAGGUAACCUACCUCUUGGACUCGGAUAAUUCCUGGAAACGGGUUGUAAUACGAGAUCGUCCUAUUGGGUCGCAUGGCCCGACUGGUAAAUGGUAGCUCUGCUUCUGCCGAGAGAGGGGCCUAUAUCCUAUUAGCUAGUUGGUGAGGUAAUGGCUCACCAAGGCUUUGAUGGGUAGCCGGACUGAGAGGUUGGCCGGUCACACUGGGACUGAGACACUGCCCAGACUCCUACGGGAGGCUGCAGUCGAGAAUCUUCCGCAAUGGGCGAAAAGCCUGACGGGGCGACGCCGCGUGAACGAAGAAGGCCUCGGUUGUAAGUUAC
rnacentral:rRNA from 1 species